GGCGCCGUAGCCAAGCUGGUAAGGCAGAGGACUGCAAAUCCUUUAUCCCCGGUUCGAGUCCGGGCGGCGCCU
rnacentral:tRNA from 1 species